rnacentral:rRNA from 1 species
UACGGGGGGAGCAAGCGUUGUUCGGAUUUACUGGGCGUAAAGGGCGCGUAGGCGGUCGUGACAAGUCACUUGUGAAAUCUCCGGGCUUAACUCGGAAAGGUCAACUGAUACUGUGCGGCUAGAGUGCGGAAGGGGCAACUGGAAUUCUUGGUGUAGCGGUGAAAUGCGUAGAUAUCGAGAGGAACACCUGCGGCGAAGGCGGGUUGCUGGGCUGAUACUGACGCUGAGGCGCGAAAGCCAGGGAGCGAACGGG